AUUGAACGCUGGCGGCAGGCCUAACACAUGCAAGUCGCACGAGUGGCGGACGGGUGUGUAAGGUCUGGGAAACUGACUGAUAGAGGGGGAUAACUACUGGAAACGGUAACUAAUACCGCAGACCAUCAGAUGUGACCAGAUGGGAUUAGCUAGUUGGUGGGGUAACGUCGCACCAAGGCGACGAUCCCUAGCUGGUCUGCGCGGAUGACAAGCCACACUGGAAAUAACACACGGUCCAGAUUCCUACGUGAGGCAGCGGUGGGUAAAAUUGCACUAUGGGCGCAAGCCUGAUGCAGCCAUGCCGAGUUUAUGACGAAGGCCUUCGGGUUGUAAAGUUCUUUCAGCGUUGAGGGGUUACCCGCAGAAGAAGCCCCGGCUAACCCCGUGCCAGCAGCCGCGGUAAUUC
rnacentral:rRNA from 1 species